AGAACGAACGCUGGCGGCGUGGAUAAGACAUGCAAGUCGAACGCGACUUAUCGAGUUAGCAAUAAUUUGGUAAGUUGAGUGGCGAAAGGGUGCGUAACACGUGGGAAAUUACCAAGAAGUGGGGAAUAGCUCGACGAAAGUCGAAUUAAUACCGCAUAUGAUCGCAAGAUCAAAGCCGGGGACCGCAAGGCCUGGCGCUUUUUGAGAUGCCCGCGGCCCAUCAGCUAGUUGGUGAGGUAAAAGCUCACCAAGGCUAUGACGGGUAGCUGGUCUGAGAGGACGACCAGCCACACUGGAACUGAGACACGGUCCAGACACCUACGGGUGGCAGCAGUCGAGAAUUUUUCACAAUGGACGAAAGU
rnacentral:rRNA from 1 species